rnacentral:lncRNA from 1 species
UUGGUUUAGGAUUUAGGGUUUGGAUUAGGAUUUGGUUUAGGAUUUGAUUAGGAUUUUAUUUAGGAUUUAAGAUUUGGUUAGGGUUUGAUUUAGGAUUUAGGAUUUAGUUAGGGUUUGGUUUAGGAUUUAAGAUUUGGAUUAGGGUUUGGUUUAGGAUUUGGUUGUGGUUUGGUUUAAGAUUUGUUUAGGGUCUGAUUUAGGAUUUAAGAUUUUAUUAGGAUCUAAGAUUCAAUUAAUUUUGGCCUAAAGUUUGAAUGAAAUUCAAUAGGAUUUUAACUAGAAUUAAAUUAAGAUUGAAUUGAGAUGUAUUUGAGUGAUAUUUGUGAUCCUUCUAAUAUUUCUUUAAGAAUUUUUAUUAUUUGUUUGAAAUUUCUUUGAAGUUUUUUUGAAUUUGAUUAAGCUUGCUUAGCAUUAUUAUGAUCUAAU